GGUUAAGCGACUAAGCGUACACGGUGGAUGCCCUGGCAGUCAGAGGCGAUGAAGGGCGUGCUAAUCUGCGAUAAGCGCCGGUAAGGUGAUAUGAACCGUUAUAACCGGCGAUACCCGAAUGGGGAAACCCAGUGUGACUCGUCACACUAUCAUUAACUGAAUCCAUAGGUUAAUGAGGCGAACCGGGGGAACUGAAACAUCUAAGUACCCCGAGGAAAAGAAAUCAACCGAGAUUCCCCCAGUAGCGGCGAGCGAACGGGGAGGAGCCCAGAGCCUGAAUCAGCAUGUGUGUUAGUGGAAGCGUCUGGAAAGGCGCGCGAUACAGGGUGACAGCCCCGUACACAAAAGCGCAUGUGCUGUGAGCUCGAUGAGUAGGGCGGGACACGUGGUAUCCUGUCUGAAUAUGGGGGGACCAUCCUCCAAGGCUAAAUACUCCUGACUGACCGAUAGUGAACCAGUACCGUGAGGGAAAGGCGAAAAGAACCCCGGCGAGGGGAGUGAAAAAGAACCUGAAACCGUGUACGUACAAGCAGUGGGAGCACAGGUUUACCUGUGUGACUGCGUACCUUUUGUAUAAUGGGUCAGCGACUUAUAUUCUGUAGCAAGGUUAACCGAAUAGGGGAGCCGGAGGGAAACCGAGUCUUAAUUGGGCGUUAAGUUGCAGGGUAUAGACCCGAAACCCGGUGAUCUAGCCAUGGGCAGGUUGAAGGUUGGGUAACACUAACUGGAGGACCGAACCGACUAAUGUUGAAAAAUUAGCGGAUGACCUGUGGCUGGGGGUGAAAGGCCAAUCAAACCGGGAGAUAGCUGGUUCUCCCCGAAAGCUAUUUAGGUAGCGCCUCGUGAAUUCAUCUCCGGGGGUAGAGCACUGUUUCGGCUAGGGGGCCAUCCCGGCUUACCAACCCGAUGCAAACUGCGAAUACCGGAGAAUGUUAUCACGGGAGACACACGGCGGGUGCUAACGUCCGUCGUGAAGAGGGAAACAACCCAGACCGCCAGCUAAGGUCCCAAAGUCAUGGUUAAGUGGGAAACGAUGUGGGAAGGCCCAGACAGCCAGGAUGUUGGCUUAGAAGCAGCCAUCAUUUAAAGAAAGCGUAAUAGCUCACUGGUCGAGUCGGCCUGCGCGGAAGAUGUAACGGGGCUAAACCAUGCACCGAAGCUGCGGCAGCGACACUGUGUGUUGUUGGGUAGGGGAGCGUUCUGUAAGCCUGUGAAGGUGUGUCGUGAGGCAUGCUGGAGGUAUCAGAAGUGCGAAUGCUGACAUAAGUAACGAUAAAGCGGGUGAAAAGCCCGCUCGCCGGAAGACCAAGGGUUCCUGUCCAACGUUAAUCGGGGCAGGGUGAGUCGACCCCUAAGGCGAGGCCGAAAGGCGUAGUCGAUGGGAAACGGGUUAAUAUUCCCGUACUUGGUGUUACUGCGAAGGGGGGACGGAGAAGGCUAUGUUGGCCGGGCGACGGUUGUCCCGGUUUAAGCGUGUAGGUGUGUGUUCCAGGUAAAUCCGGUUCACUUUAACACUGAGGCGUGACGACGAGGCACUACGGUGCUGAAGCAACAAAUGCCCUGCUUCCAGGAAAAGCCUCUAAGCAUCAGGUAACAUCAAAUCGUACCCCAAACCGACACAGGUGGUCAGGUAGAGAAUACCAAGGCGCUUGAGAGAACUCGGGUGAAGGAACUAGGCAAAAUGGUGCCGUAACUUCGGGAGAAGGCACGCUGACACGUAGGUGAAGUGAUUUACUCAUGGAGCUGAAGUCAGUCGAAGAUACCAGCUGGCUGCAACUGUUUAUUAAAAACACAGCACUGUGCAAACACGAAAGUGGACGUAUACGGUGUGACGCCUGCCCGGUGCCGGAAGGUUAAUUGAUGGGGUCAGCGCAAGCGAAGCUCCUGAUCGAAGCCCCGGUAAACGGCGGCCGUAACUAUAACGGUCCUAAGGUAGCGAAAUUCCUUGUCGGGUAAGUUCCGACCUGCACGAAUGGCGUAAUGAUGGCCAGGCUGUCUCCACCCGAGACUCAGUGAAAUUGAACUCGCUGUGAAGAUGCAGUGUACCCGCGGCAAGACGGAAAGACCCCGUGAACCUUUACUAUAGCUUGACACUGAACAUUGAGCCUUGAUGUGUAGGAUAGGUGGGAGGCUUUGAAGUGUGGACGCCAGUCUGCAUGGAGCCGACCUUGAAAUACCACCCUUUAAUGUUUGAUGUUCUAACGUGGACCCGUUACCCGGGUUGCGGACAGUGUCUGGUGGGUAGUUUGACUGGGGCGGUCUCCUCCUAAAGAGUAACGGAGGAGCACGAAGGUUGGCUAAUCCUGGUCGGACAUCAGGAGGUUAGUGCAAUGGCAUAAGCCAGCUUGACUGCGAGCGUGACGGCGCGAGCAGGUGCGAAAGCAGGUCAUAGUGAUCCGGUGGUUCUGAAUGGAAGGGCCAUCGCUCAACGGAUAAAAGGUACUCCGGGGAUAACAGGCUGAUACCGCCCAAGAGUUCAUAUCGACGGCGGUGUUUGGCACCUCGAUGUCGGCUCAUCACAUCCUGGGGCUGAAGUAGGUCCCAAGGGUAUGGCUGUUCGCCAUUUAAAGUGGUACGCGAGCUGGGUUUAGAACGUCGUGAGACAGUUCGGUCCCUAUCUGCCGUGGGCGCUGGAGAACUGAGGGGGGCUGCUCCUAGUACGAGAGGACCGGAGUGGACGCAUCACUGGUGUUCGGGUUGUCAUGCCAAUGGCACUGCCCGGUAGCUAAAUGCGGAAGAGAUAAGUGCUGAAAGCAUCUAAGCACGAAACUUGCCCCGAGAUGAGUUCUCCCUGAGACUUAGAGUCUCCUGAAGGAACGUUGAAGACGACGACGUUGAUAGGCCGGGUGUGUAAGCGCAGCGAUGCGUUGAGCUAACCGGUACUAAUGAACCGUGAGGCUUAACCUU
rnacentral:rRNA from 2 species